rfam:Felis catus isolate Cinnamon breed Abyssinian chromosome A3, whole genome shotgun sequence.
GCACAGGUUCCACUAGGAACUACACACAUAAUUUGGGAACAUUUGG